GAAAGAAAAAAAUGGCCAAAACAUUCACAAACGACUAAGUGUUAUCGGUGCUACUAGAUGGGGGUCCAAACACGAUGCCCUUCAUAAGUUUUUUGGUACGUUUCGCGACGGUGAAGGAGCAUUAUACACAGACGUUGUUCAAGUACUGGAAAUAGCAGUCUCAUCCACUAAAUUAAGUGUUGAAGCACGCUAUGAUGCGCAGUGUCUAUUAACGUCCUUAUUGAAGUAUAAGACUGUACUGACGGGAUUUGUAUAUCUAAGAAUAAUGGAAGCAACCACACCACUGUCCAAAUACCUACAGACGUCUGGAUUGAAUUUCAUAAAGGCGUUUGAGAUGGUUAAAGUAACUAUUUCAGAAAUUCAGGCUCAAUCACGCAAUUUUGAUCAAGUUAAGGUGGCUGCAGACCAUUUCAUUAAUGUGUCCGCAACCAUUCUUGACGAGAAAGAAUGUGAUUGUGUUAUACAGACAGAUUUGCCAAUGGUACGCAAAAGAAUAAGAAAAGUAAUGUCAGGAGAAUUAGCAAAUGAUGAUCCACUUACAGAUCCUUAAAAAAAGUUUGAAGUAGAGGUCCACAAUAGUAUUCUAGACACAGUGUUAAGAAGUCUGUCGACUCGGUUUGCAUCACACGGUGAGCUGUACUCUGAUAUGAGUUGUUUUGACCCCAACGGAUUUUCUGAGUUAUUGGAAUGUAAUAUUCCAAAAAAAGCCCUACAGAAAAUCUGCUGUCAUAUUUCGGCAACAGGCGAAGAAGCGCAGCUGUUGCUUGAGCUGUUGGACUUUG